UUUCUGAUCUUUCUUCUUUUUCUUCUUCUUCUUCUUUUUCUCUUCAUCUCUUCAUCAUAUUUGCGAGAGUCGGAUUCUUCUUGUUUUUCUUCUUCUUCAUCUCGUCAUUUCUUCGUUAGAUUCAGGAGAGAGAAUCAUCUCAGCAUCAACUCAAGGUUUGGUCUUUUGGUUUGCUCCUCAUUCUUUUCGUUACCCACUCAAAUCUUCUCACGAAAGAUUACCACGUCCGAUCGGAAAUUCUCCGUCUCCACCUACUACAAUGCCGGUGUGGUGGUGAAAUGGCACGCAAGAAGAUCAGAUAGUAUGAUUCAAAGAGAUUGUUGAAUGAGCAUUUCAAGAGGCUCUCUGGCGGUGAAUUGCCAAUCAAAUCCGCUCAGACUACCGAAUCAACCGAUCUCAAUGAGUUAGCAAACAAUGAGCCUUGGCUUUUGUCUUCCAAAGUUGUUGUUAAACCCGACAUGUUGUUUGGAAAGCAUGGAAGAACAACUUGGUUGCUUUGAA